rnacentral:rRNA from 1 species
AGAGUUUGAUCCUGGCUCAGGACGAACGCUGGCGGCGUGCUUAACACAUGCAAGUCGAGCGAUGAAGCUCCUUCGGGAGUGGAUUAGCGGCGGACGGGUGAGUAACACGUGGGUAACCUGCCUCAUAGAGGGGAAUAGCCUUUCGAAAGGAAGAUUAAUACCGCAUAAGAUUGUAGUACCGCAUGGUAUAGCAAUUAAAGGAGUAAUCCGCUAUGAGAUGGACCCGCGUCGCAUUAGCUAGUUGGUGAGGUAACUGCUCACCAAGGCGACGAUGCGUAGCCGACCUGAGAGGGUGAUCGGCCACAUUGGGACUGAGACACGGCCCAGACUCCUACGGGAGGCAGCAGUGGGGAAUAUUGCACAAUGGGGGAAACCCUGAUGCAGCAACGCCGCGUGAGCGAUGACGGUCUUCGGAUUGUAAAGCUCUGUCUUUAGGGACGAUAAUGACGGUACCUAAGGAGGAAGCCACGGCUAACUACGUGCCAGCAGCCGCGGUAAUACGUAGGUGGCAAGCGUUGUCCGGAUU